rnacentral:lncRNA from 1 species
AUGGAGCCGGGUGGGGUCCUGCCGCAUCCCGGGUACCCCCCGUUUCCCAGCCGUACCCCACUUCUCCAGCCCCCGCCGCUGGUGCGCGUAGGUGGUCGAUGCUUUCCCGGCUCCCACCCCUGUACAUACCCCGAGGGAGACUGGGCAGCGCGGCCGGCACACCCAGCCCGGCUUGCACACGAGUGUGCACGGGCGUGCGCGGGCGUGCAAAGCCUCCUCUGGCUUCUCUGUCCCACUCCCCUCUCGCCGCGCUGGUUGUUCUGGGCUCCAACAGAGCCUGAGGAGGAGAUGAGUCUUCUUCUUCUUCUCCUUCUUGUUCCUCUUCUUUCUUCUUCUCUUUCUUCCUCCUCCUCUUCUUCUCUUUCUUCCUCCUCCUCUUCUUCUUCUUCUCCUUCUUGUCCCUCUUCUUUCUUCUUUGUCUCCUUUUUCUUUUCCUUUCUCCUCUUCUUCAUUUUCUUCUUCUUCUUCUUUUUCUUCUCUUUCUUCCUCCUUUUCCUCCUCCUUAUCCUUCUUCUUCUCCUCCUCUUUCUCCUUCUCCUUCCUUCUCCUUCUCCUUCUCCUUCUCCUUCUCCUUCUCCUUCUCCUCCUCCUCCUCCUCCUCCUCCCUCUUUAUUAUUAUUAUUUUUUUUUGGUGGGUUUGGUUUUCCAAAAUAAAUUUCAUACGUCGAUCUCCCCGCGGCGGGUUGGUGGGUGCCUCGUGUCGGGUGUCCUGGGGGACACUCUGAAGGGGGGGGUCCCCAAGGAGGUGCAACAUCACCAGGGAAGGUUUGGGGGUGCAAGGGGACCCUGGGUCACCCCCAGCCCCUGUCACGGCCCCGCUGGGGACCAGGUGGCUUCAGCUGAGACUUACACCCCCAAAACCACCCUCCGGGGGGGAGACUCCAUCUCAGGCCAGGAGGGUCCAGCCCCCCUGGGAUGCUCCAGUCCCUCCCCAGAUGCUCCAACCUCCCCAGUACGCUCCAGUCCCCCCAGUGCUCUGUUCUUUCCUGGA